AUUCUUUUCUGGUUCUUAUAUAAGCAUGAUGAUUGGGUGUUCACAUAUUUGUGUGUUAUGUGCGUCCCUUAACUCUUGUUAUGCAUGUAGGCACAAUAUCCAUCUGAUG